UACGGAGGGGGCUAGCGUUGUUCGGAAUUACUGGGCGUAAAGCGCACGUAGGCGGCUUUGUAAGUUAGAGGUGAAAGCCCGGGGCUCAACUCCGGAAUUGCCUUUAAGACUGCAUCGCUAGAAUUGUGGAGAGGUAAGUGGAAUUCCGAGUGUAGAGGUGAAAUUCGUAGAUAUUCGGAAGAAACACCAGUGGCGAAGGCGACUUACUGGACACAUAUUGACGCUGAGGUGGCGAAAAGCGUGGGGAGCAAACAGG
rnacentral:rRNA from 1 species